rnacentral:misc_RNA from 1 species
GAAAUGCGAUAAGUAGUGUGAAUUGCAGAAUUCCGCGAAUCAUCGAAUCUUUGAACGCACAUUGCGCCCUUUGGCAUUCCUUAGGGCAUGCCUGUCCGAGCGUCAUUUGACCCCUCAAGCUCCGCUUGGCGAUGGGCGUCUGUCCGGCUCCCCGGAGUCGGACUCGCCUCAAAGACAUUGGCGGCCGGUACCCGGGCCUCGAGCGCAGCAGACACGCGAUUCUCGAGGCCCGGCGGAUCGAGCUCCCAGGAAGCCUUCCUCCUCGCAGUUUGACCUCGGAUCAGGUAGGGAUACCCGCUGAACUUAA